UAUGUUUUAGUAUCUUAUGUACACAAAUUUUUGAUAUUUGAAGUAAUGGUUUAAUUCCAUUAAGCAUAU
rnacentral:tRNA from 1 species